AUUGAACGCUGGCGGCAGGCCUAACACAUGCAAGUCGAACGAGUGGCGGACGGGUGAGUAAUGUCUGGGAAACUGCCUGAUGGAGGGGGAUAACUACUGGAAACGGUAGCUAAUACCGCAUACCAUCAGAUGUGCCCAUAUGGGAUUAGCUUGUUGGUGGGGUAACGGCUCACCAAGGCGACGAUCCCUAGCUGGUCUGAGAGGAUGACCGUCAACACUGGAACUGAGACACGGUCCAGACUCCUACGGGAGGAAGCAGUGGGGAAUAUUGCACAAUGGGCGCAAGCCUGAUGCAGCCAUGCGGCGAGUAUGAAGAAGGCCUGCGGGUUGUAAAGUACUUUCAGCGGGGAGGCGGUACCCGCAGAAGAAGCACCGGCUAACUCCGUGCCAGCAGCCGCGGUAAUAC
rnacentral:rRNA from 1 species